rnacentral:rRNA from 1 species
CUCAGGAUGAACGCUAGCGGGAGGCCUAACACAUGCAAGCCGAGCGGUAUUGUUUCUUCGGAAAUGAGAGAGCGGCGUACGGGUGCGUAACACGUGUGCAACCUGCCUUUAUCUGGGGGAUAGCCUUUCGAAAGGAAGAUUAAUACUCCAUAAUAUAUUGAACGGCAUCGUUUAAUAUUGAAAGCUCCGGCGGAUAGAGAUGGGCACGCGCAAGAUUAGCUAGUUGGUGAGGUAACGGCUCACCAAGGCGAUGAUCUUUAGGGGGCCUGAGAGGGUGAUCCCCCACACUGGUACUGAGACACGGACCAGUAUCGNACGA